AACCUGCGGAAUCUGCGAUAAAGAGGAGGAAUGGAGUGAAGAGACUCACCUAAUGAAGGUUGUGUUUGGACUGUACAGCCAACAGAAUCAGAGCUCUGGACAUUUGACAGCCAUGGACUGUAAGGAUGGACAUCUGCUGCUGGACAGGCAAAAGCGAAACGACUGCUGGUCAUGAUUCUGGAGGUCAGCGGAGACGCCAUGAUUCCCCACACCUUCUCACUCACUGUUCAACUGUUAUGUUCCCUGUUGUUACACACAAAAACAACUGUUCAAGUUACAGGUCCAGCAUGCUGAGUUGGGUCUUGAAUCACCUGGACUCCAACAAAACCUCAUCUUCAUUAACCCAGCAGAGCCACCAUGGCUUUCACAAUGAGUGUGUUGGAGACACU